ACCAAAAUGACUGAUAAAAGUAAUAAACUGUAAAUUUAUUUAUGAAAUUAAAAUUUUCUUUUGGUA
rnacentral:tRNA from 1 species